rnacentral:rRNA from 1 species
AGGAUGAACGCUGGCGGCGUGCCUAAUACAUGCAAGUCGAGCGAACAGACGAGGAGCUUGCUCCUCUGACGUUAGCGGCGGACGGGUGAGUAACACGUGGAUAACCUACCUAUAAGACUGGGAUAACUUCGGGAAACCGGAGCUAAUACCGGAUAAUAUAUUGAACCGCAUGGUUCAAUAGUGAAAGACGGUUUUGCUGUCACUUAUAGAUGGAUCCGCGCCGCAUUAGCUAGGUUGGUAAGGUAACGGCUUACCAAGGCAACGAUGCGUAGCCGACCUGAGAGGGUGAUCGGCACACUGGAACUGAGACACGGUCCAGACUCCGUAGGAGGCAGCAGUAGGGAUCUUCCGC